AUUGAACGCUGGCGGCAUGCCUUACACAUGCAAGUCGAACGGCAGCACGGGAGUAAUCCUGGUGGCGAGUGGCGAACGGGUGAGUAAUACAUCGGAACGUGUCCUGUAGUGUGGGAUAGCCCGGCGAAAGCCGGAUUAAUACCGCAUACGAUCUACGGAAGAAAGCGGGGGAUCUUCGGACCUCGCGCUAUAGGGGCGGCCGAUGGCAGAUUAGCUAGUUGGUGGGGUAAAGGCCUACCAAGGCGACGAUCUGUAGCUGGUCUGAGAGGACGACCAGCCACACUGGGACUGAGACACGGCCCAGACUCCUACGGGAGGCAG
rnacentral:rRNA from 1 species